AUUCAGAACCAAGCCCCACGCUUGCAUACAGAAUAAUCCACCAAGACACUGAGCUCGUAUUUAAAACAGUAUAAAAGUGAAAUCAACGAAGGAAAAUCGCAUUGAAGCGAAAGCAUAAGAACGUCUGCCCUGACAUGAUUCGAUGUUAUUGUUCUCAUUGUACUUGAUUACUACUGUGUUUAUUAAUUGAGUGAAAAGCAGAGGCAUAACUUGGGCACACAUUUAUAUUUUAUAUGCGUGUUCGUAUGUAAAGACUACAUUUAUAUGUCCGCGGGCUGAAGCUUGGCGCCAGACCCAGAUGGAGUCAUUCAGUCAAACUCUCGCGGUCAAAUUAUACACAACCUAACGGGAUAAAUACGGAAAUUGAAUUUUUUACAAUCAAAGAGUUAAUAUACUUACAUAUUAUUUACAAUAUAAUUUGCACUUCCCCCCAACCUAAUGAAGAAGUUAUGUUUGUGAAUGUGUUAAAUUAUUUUUCUUUCGCAUUAAAUAAAAUGUAAAACAAUAUAUAUAUUUAGCCGGAAUAAUUAGAUGGUGUAUAUAUAUGAAUAAGUGCAUACAUAUUAGAAUAAAUCGUUGUACAAGUAAUGGCUCAUUUAAACGCUCAUUAUUGCAGAUACAUUUUAUUAAAAUACAGAGCUAUGUUUUGAACAAACACACAAAUAAGAAUAAAGCAUGCAAUACGGUACAUACUCAUAUCGUGCUUUAAUAAAAAUUUUCAGAAAAGAAGCAGAUAUCUAACUACAAAAUGUGGGAAGGAAAAAGGGAUGACGGUGCUUUCCUUAAUGGUAAAGGAAAAAUAAAGAAAAAUGUUUCAGUUGAUAAAAUGGGAUUGAACUUGGAAAGCAGUUGUAUUUUAAGAAUGGGGGAUAAGAAAACGUGCGAAGUAAACAAAAGUAAUUAUCACGAGAGUAACGUUUCGAGUAUGGAUAGCAAAUACAUGAUUUAUGGCUUACAACCUGGAGUUAUUGAGCAAAACCAACCCAUCUAUGAAAAUAUGAAGCACGAUUUGCUCUCAGACCAAAAAUGUGUACUAAGAAAAUUAUUUCGAACUAUCGAAAAGCCGGAUACUAUAUAUGAGAAUUUGUGUCGUGGAUGUGGUUACGGCGUUUUUGAAGCAAAAAGCUAUUUAUGUAAUUUUUGUUCAUGUGUUGUUGGAGGACUGCGGAAUAACCAGUUGCGGCAUUUAGAAGAAAGCGAUCAAAUUUAUGUGAAUACUGGUGAGAAUAUUUAUGAAAAUGUCUGCGUCAAAUGCUCUGCUUUGUAUAAUACAGAUGCAUGUGAGAUCUGUUUAGCGAACGAAAAUAAGAUGACACCCAAUAUUUUUGAAGAAAUGCAAUUGGCAGUUGCUGCUUCCAAAAAAGAUCAAAUUCCCACAAAAAUACCAAAAUUGAAAUCAUUUAAUAAGUUUAAUAAACAAAAACUUAUUAGUGGCAUUUUUGGAUCGUUGAAGAGAGGAGUAAAAACCAAUCAACGUUUUCCAAGUGGUCCAGAACACGGCAGAAAAAAACUUACUCAACUGGAUAUUAUCCAUCACGUGGAUGGAUCCAAUAACGUUUUUCGUACAAAUGAAACCUUUGAUAUACAAAGAAUAUGCGAAUUGAAACAAGCCCAAAAACAUUUCGCUGAGAUUUCUACUAGUGACCAGCAUAUUUACGGUCGUUUAAAAUAUUAUGAAAGCAUUGACAGUGACACUACUACAGUAACAAUAGAUACAUUGCGUAUGUUUAGAUCCAACUCCCAAGACCAGCUACAAGCAUCCAAAUUAGAUUCUAUUUGUUUCACAAACACUAAAGAAUUUCAUUCACCACCGGCCAUCAAAAAGGCUUUGAUUUCUUCGAGAAGGCAAUCACACAUAUCGCAACCCCCCCUUUUAGACUUCAAUCCACAAUGCAUUCCAGAUAAAAAUUUUAAUCUACCGAGUGAUACCAAGCUUGCAUUGCCAUUGUCCAAUAGUGUUUGUUAUUGGAUGAAAUUAUUACGUAAGCAGGUUUACAAUUAUCACGCUCAUGAUGCAUUAUUUGAUGAUGGGGACUUUACUUCGUGCAUUCCAAAAAGUAUUCCCUCAAAAAACGUACUAUUACAUACAUAUUGCGUCUCUAGUUCGAGUUAUAACAAUUGUAGUUUGAAGGCGUUCCCCUCUCAUUUAGCAGAAACUAUGACUAAUUUUCCAGUCACUGAUAAAAAAGGUGAAUUCAAAUAUGCAGCGCUUAUGAAUAAAAUAAACUCACACUCUGAUUCCAGUAGUAAUGCUCGUGUUAGUGAGCAAAUGGAAAGUCGCUUCGAUGUGAUGGUGGACGCAUUUAAGAAAAAUGUGAUGACAAAACAUUUGCUCUAUCAUCAGAGAGAGUCGCAACCAUCUGUUGAUCAUUCCAAUUCGCUCAGCGCAGUGCCCAAAGCAAACCACUUAACACGAUCAACACAACAGCGAACAAAACACCAAAUAAUAUGUAUGAAUAACGAAAACAAUGCAGCUUUUGACUGGCCUGCCGAGCACAGUCCGAUUUCAGUAAUAAAUUCUCAACAAGCGCUCUCAAGAGUUGGCUCCCAAAAAUGUCUAGCUAGUUGUUGCUCAGCUUGCAAUGUGGUCGAAGGGAAACAUCAUCGUUGCGGGUGUUUAAACGUGGGAGAUCGUAUACCUCGUGCCCCGUACUCCGAAUUCCAGCAGAAAACAGUGGCUUCAGUUGAAAAAAAUGAGAAUAAAAAAAUAAAAGCAAAAACUUUACUAAAAACGGAAACGGCUGACGCAUAUAACAGUGCUGUGGCAUCUGGUGUUAAUAAAAAGCAAGUAAAGCAAAUCAACUUUAUUGCCAAUGCUACAAAUAAUAUUGGAAAUAAUUCAUGCCUAGCAAAUGAAGCUCACUUAAAGAUUAAUUUAGUGCGUUUAAUAAAUAAUAGCUAUAUAUCUUAUAGUCUUAAUACAAACGUUUUACAUUCGUUCUCUAAUCGAUCACAGUACUUUCAUUGGUUACAAGAAUGGUUGCUUUGUUAUUAUAACCCGUGGAGUUUGCACGCCAAACGUACUUUGAAGGUGCUUGCUAAUUGUAAUAGCUUUGAAAUAGCUUUUAAAUUAUGGGCUAUACUGUGUGAGUCAGUGCCGCGACAUAAAAGUAUGUGGAAAUAUGAUAAACAAGGGGCGAGAGUUGUUAUGAAAUAUAAUCGUAUGGCAAUGCAAAGUGAACUGGAAAACGUAGCUGUUUUUGAUGAGAAAAAUAGUGAAAAUCUAUGUGUGAAAAAAAUUGUGGGUACAAACAGCCCAAUGAAAACCAACGACGAAGUAGUUUUGCGUAUAAAGAGCAAAGAGUCUUUAGAAAGAAGUAAAAAAGCUCAAGGGAAAUUUUUAGAUCUUGAUAAAAAUGUAGCUGAAUUGAAUGAGCAGGGUUUAAAGCAGGAGGGUCGCAGCGAUAACUGCGAUGAAAACAUAGAAGUUAGGUUGGAAUCAUUUAAUGAAAAAGCAAUCGUUUCCUGCGAAACAAAAUCUCCAAAUGGUAAUGAAGAACAGCAAAAGGAGGAGGAUAUUUAUCAACCCAUUUGGAAAUUUCAAACUGUUGGAGAAGCUCAUGAAUCCUACGAUAGUGAUCCUGAAUAUUAUGAUGCAAAUAGCCGGUCUACAAGCUCUAAAUCCUCAUUGGUAAAACAACAAGUAAUAUCAUAUGAUUCAUCAAUACCAUCGCUUUUAACUUCUGAUAAUGUGGAAGAUCAUGGCGAGUGGGAGACAGAUGAUGAGUUCAUGUUCUCAAAAAUUGUCGACGGAUGUUGCGUUGCUAAAGACACGACACCAUCACAAACAUUACACAGCUCCGUUACGCAGGGCAGCAAUACAAAGACAAGUAGUAAUACGAAUGUCGCUUCAUCAGCGAACUUCAAUUUUGAACACCCUCAACUCCGUGCAGUGUGCAUAUUUUUCAGUCUGAGUGAGCCCAAUAUCCGUGCCAUUAUCUACGACUACAAAAGGGCUCAAGCUUCGCAAUAUUUUUCAAAAAGUGCACAAGUGCACCCAAUAACAGAGAAUAGGAGUAAAACAGUCCCCAUUACGCCAAUUAAUUACCUUUGGAAAUCAUCUUCAAUUGAUCGUGUAAUGGAUCUGCCUUCAACACCUCGUAAAAACUCAACUUGUUCAACAACCAAGAUAACCUCUCAAAGUGGCGAAGCUUUAUCAGUUUUUAAUUUGAAGUCGGUGAAUGCGUGGAAGCUUAACCUUUUAAAUAUAUCCUAUGCAGAAGAUGAGGAAGAUUUGAUCGUGUCAGAAAAUGAGAUUUUGCGAUCGCAAAUAUUUAAGGAGGAACCCGAAAAACCGGCUUCUGUCAAACCCACCACUUUACAGCGCUUCAAAAGUGCUUCUUUCGGAAAUCUUUUGGAAAUACCGAAUGAGGAUGACAAGAAAUCUAUUACAGAACGUAUGCGAAACAAAUUGCAACGCGGAGUUUUCAAGCUAAAUAUGCGUUCACCAAAAAGCGAGAAAAAACGAAAUGGCAUCUUUCGCCCUGUAAAAACGGGAAGUUUGUACUUAGAAGAGGGCAUGCGACCAAAGUUUCCGAUUUUCUGCGCGUCACUGGAGCAAUUAGAGAUGAAUGAAUCCAUAAAUCCAAAUGUCCCACGCUUUGUUGUAGACUGCGUAUCUUACAUUGAACGGAAAGACUGCAUAUUACAAGAUGGAUUAUAUCGAGCCUCCGGCAACAAAGUGGCCAUUGAUGAAUUAAAGCAAAAAUUAUCAGAAAGCUACAUUUACGAUUCGAAACUGUUAGUAGCGGAUGAUAUACAUACAAUCACCAGUUUACUAAAGCAAUUCUUUCGAGAACUAAGUAGCCCUCUGAUUCCCCAACCGAUAUACGAUCGCAUCGGACGCAAUUGCUCUGAUGCUGCUGGUAUUGAGAUGUUACGAGAUGUCCUUGAAGAGAUACCUGAACCUAAUCAUGCAACGUUGAAGUUUCUUAUCCGACAUUUGAAGAAUGUGGCAGCCUGCAGUAUGGAAAACCGAAUGCCCGCAUCGAACCUAGCGAUUGUAUGGGGCCCCUGUAUUUUUUCCUCAAACCAAAUGGUAUUUGUUGACAUUGGCCGGAUGAACACAUUAACUAAAUUGUUAAUUGAAAAUUACGAAUAUAUAUUUAGAGAAAAUGAACGACUUGUUAAUUAAGCAUUUAAUUUUACAUAUAAACAUUCUCUAUUUUAGUUUUACCUUGUUUACAUAUUUGAAUUGGAGUAUUUGUCAAAAAUUCACUUGUCAAAAAAUACUUAAAAUUUGUUUAAGCGUAAGUGAAACAUAGAAUUUAAAGGAAAACAUAGUUUUACGAAGACGAAGAAAUCAUACGAAAUGUAGUUAUUUAUGUAACCAUUUAACCAAAUUAACAAUGUGAUAAAAUAUAUUGAUUGUGUGAGCGAUGGAGGAUGAAAGAACCUUUGUAGUAGAAGUAAGGGCGCACGGAAUUUAGCGGACGUGGUUUUUAUCCAAUAUCAAUGAUAUUUAUGUGGAAUCUAAAUGAGGCGGAGAGUAAUACGUUUAUGUACUAAGUUUGGAAGAGUUUUCCCUCUCCAGACGAAGUUUCAAAAACUUUUUUGACAUGAAUCGAUAUGAAAAAAUAGGCAUUUAUGAAAAAACCUGUUUGACUUCAAGAUAAAAAUUUGUAUCCUUGACUUCCGUUGUGUUGUAAUCUCUAGUUAAUCCACAUAAAAAUGUAAUUUUAAUUACAUUAUACAAAUCUGUAUUGCCAAA